AGAGUUUGAUCCUGGCUCAGGAUGAACGCCGGCGGCGUGCUUAACACAUGCAAGUCGAACGAAGCAUCUUAAGAUGAUUUCUUCGGAAUGAAGUUUUUGAUGACUGAGUGGCGGACGGGUGAGUAACUCGUGGGUAACCUGCCUCAUACAGGGGGAUAACAGUUAGAAAUGGCUGCUAAUACCUCAUAAGCGCACAGUGUCACAUGCCUCAGUGUUAAAAACUCCGGUGGUAUGAGAUGGACCCGCGUCUGAUUAGCUAGUUGGUAAGGUAACGGCCUACCAAGGCAACGAUCAGUAGCCGACCUGAGAGGGUGAUCGCCCACAUUGGGAAUGAGACACGGUCCAAACUCCUACGGGAGGCAGCAGUGGGGAAUAUUGCACAAUGGGGGAAACCCUGAUGCAGCGACCCCGCGUGAGUGAAGAAGUAUUUUGGUAAGUAAACUUCUAUCAGCAAGGAAGAUAAUGACGGUACUUGAAUAAGAAGCCCCGGCUUACUCCUUACCAGCAGUCGCGGUAA
rnacentral:rRNA from 1 species